AAUUUGAAAUCUGGCCCCCCGGCCCGAGUUGUAAUUUGCAGAGGAUGCUUUUGGUGAGGCACCCACCGAGUCCCCUGGAAUGGGGCGCCAUAGAGGGUGAGAGCCCCGUAUGGUAGGACGCCGAACCUCUGUAAAGCUCCUUCGACGAGUCGAGUAGUUUGGGAAUGCUGCUCUAAAUGGGAGGUAAAUUUCUUCUAAAGCUAAAUACCGGCCAGAGACCGAUAGCGCACAAGUAGAGUGAUCGAAAGAUGAAAAGCACUUUGAAAAGAGGGUUAAAAAGUACGUGAAAUUGUUGAAAGGGAAGCGCUUGUGACCAGACUUGCGCCGGGCGGAUCAUCCAGCGUUCUCGCUGGUGCACUCCGCCCGGUUCAGGCCAGCAUCGGUUUUCGCCGGGGGACAAAGGCUUCGGGAACGUGGCUCCUCUCGGGGAGUGUUAUAGCCCGUUGCGUAAUACCCCGGCGGGGACCGACGACCGCGCUUCGGCAAGGAUGCUGGCGUAAUGGUCAUCAGCGACCCGUCUUGAAACACGGACCGAGGAGUCAAGCAUUAGUGCGAGUGUUUGGGUGUAAAACCCGCACGCGUAAUGAAAGUGAACGUAGGUGAGAGCUUCGGCGCAUCAUCGACCGAUCCUGAUGUUUUCGGAAGGAUUUGAGUAGGAGCAUUAACGCUUGGACCCGAAAGAUGGUGAACUAUACUUGAAUAGGGUGAAGCCAGAGGAAACUCUGGUGGAGGCUCGCAGCGGUUCUGACGUGCAAAUCGAUCGUCAAAUUUGAGUAUAGGGGCGAAAGACUAAUCGAACCAUCUAGU
rnacentral:rRNA from 1 species